AGAGAUCUUGAUGCAGACGCCCUUUUGGAUUUCUUUUUAAUAAUGUGUGACCCUUCACCUUUGAUCCCUUGACCUGCAUUACUUUGAGUCACCUGUUAAAUAACGUGGCAGGCAAAACAGUACUCAGAGAAUUCUGCUGAGCAGUGUCUCCUCCGUGUUGAUGUACCCAGUGGUUAGAGCCGAGAUGGACGAUCGCAGCCUACGUCAGUGUUUGAAGCGUUCAGGUUUGGCUUGUCUGCUUUUCAGCUCUUCUAGACAUUGGAAAUUCCAGUUUGUGUUUAUUUUCUCUGGAUUCCUUCCCACAAGACAGAAGUGAAUUCAGCAUGGAUUAUUGGGGAGAACCUUGGCUGGGAAUAAGGAUAAUUGCAGUCUCUGGCUGUGCCACAGAUUUACUGAUGAUUUCUUUUAAGUUAUUCACCUGCACUGUAUCUGUUUCCUCAGCUGUAAAAUGUGGGUAAUUACCUCCAUUGUAAAAUGUUAUGGGGUCUGCUGGUAAUUAUAUGAAUGAAGUACUAAUUACAGUGAUUAUUACUUGGACCUAGUCUAGAUCUGGGUGAUGCUCCUGUUGUGAUGAACGUGUGAAACACACGCUACGACUUGCCUUUCUCCAUUCUUUGGGAGGGACCUGGCAGGGAAGGUGCCGCGGCAUUGGGAUGUACGUUCCUGAUGAGAAGCGCUACUUUUUCAUGCAAGUCAGUCUGUUAACUUCCCGUCUCCCUCAUCCUCACGCGAUAGCAGGCAGGAGGCUGAUGGGAGGCUAAGAAAUGACUAAUUCGGUAGUUGGAUCCACGUGUAAUUCAAUAGUAAGGGUUCGUGCUUUGGCAUUCGCUGUUCCUCUUGGAGAUGCGCAGAAGCAGCAGACGGGGAGUGUGGUCUCCGAGAGGCUGGUUGGGUUGGGGACAGUCCGUGUGCCACCUUGUGGCCUCGGUGCCUUUGGAAGAUCUGACCUUCAUGCGGGAAAAGGUGUCCUUCCAGCUGGGGAGGUUAUUGCCCUCCUGUAAAAGACGACCGCUUGCAAGACUUUUUAUCAAGCGUUUUAUUUGCCUUUCUCUUCUCGAUUUAUUUAGGACACGUUUUCUUUGUAGCUGGGAACAGCUCUGCUAUCUGCUGAGCAAGGCUGGUCAGUGGAGGAAGAAUUGAUAUUCUUUAAGGUAGAAAUGGAGAGUUCUCAUCCAGGAAAUACUGCUGCUGCUGCCCGGAUGAUGCUGUAGUUCCUGACGGUAGUAAUGAUGAGUAAUGACUUGCAUCCGUUAACGACGAGAGGCUCCUACUCGACACCAGCCUUCUCUGGACACACGUUUCGUGGCACAGUAGCAACAAAAACCGUGUUCUUGGUUCGUCUUGCUGCAGUUCCUGCCUGCUCUGCUGUGCCACGUCUGCUGGCUGGAUUUCAGCCCUCGCCUCCGCACUCCCACUUGCCAUCAGCCUCGGCCGUUCUUUGCCCUGGAAGAGCAGCCAGAGAUCUCGGUAAUGGCAUCAGGAUUUGGUAGCAAGCUAGAGGUGACAGGCUGGGCAGCUCUUCCUUUCUCAGAGUUUCAUGGUUGCAGUGAAUUUUUAACUUUUAAGAGGAGGGUUUAGUUAUUGUCCAGUAUCAUAAUAUGAAAAGGCUUUCCAGCAGUGGAAAGGCAAUUUUUAAUUGCAGUUUUGCACUUGAAUUUCCCAAACUAGAUGCUCACCUCUGACAGCUUAUUUCUGAUUGAUGCUACAUGUUGAAAUCAAUCUGGAGUAUAUCACGUCCUCGCAAUAUGUCAGUGGUUGGCAAUGCAAAGUCCAUCUUACGCAGCUCAGUGGAUCAUUAUUCUGUUUGCGGGUAACUUAAGGGAGACAAAUGGUUCCAAGUACAGGUUUUCUCCAAGGCUUCUACGUUUAAAACUUUAAAAGCCGUAACUGAAAAUCCACCAAAUACAAAUACGGGUGCCUGCCCGUGGUGAGCCCAGCGGCCGGCGUUUGUGCCGCUUGUGGCUUUGCCGGCCCCAGGGCUGCAGGGCCCGUCUCCCGCCCUGCUGCAGGGCCGGGAGCAGCCCCUCGGCACUCGGGGGCAUCCGUCCUCCACCGCCUGCCUCUGGGCAGCCUCAGCCUCCCCAGACGGGAGUUCUGCUCUUGGCUUCUUGAACCACCCGUUUUUGUCGUGACGGAAUGCUCGGGUGCCCCGUGACGGGUGCCAGUGUGUGGUGCCAGACAAGUGAAAACAGUCGUUGCCGAGCAGUAAGUGUAUGGAGAGACCUCACCUGGCCAGAAAUGAGGGAUCAUCCCUCCCGCCAUCACUCUUACCUCGCUUCAGAGCAUCUAAAAUACCAGACGGUUGUUCGCCUGUCUGUGCACCUCACCUAAUAAUCGUAUGUUGGAUUUUAAAAACAAAAAUCCUGUUGAUUUGGGAAGCCAAAAACUUGGUUCAUUCCCAGAAGCAUCGUCUAUUAAGAUCCUACAGAAGCGUCUUCUAUUAAGAUUGAUUAGUUUGGUGAGAGAUGCUUCAGCGGCGAAUAAUGCCGUAUGAAUGUUCUUAUUGCGCCUUGCACCAGAGAAUGGAGCUGUGUGCGCUCUGCAAGCCCUGUGUGGUGAGGCACAGCGAGUUACUGCCUGAUCGGAAGGACAGUCAAUAAUUCGGAUUCGAGAUUUAUUCAGCUAUAAUUUUAUAGCAUUCUUGCAACAAAUGGGAACGUGUAUUAUCUAUGAGAUUUCUGUAUCUCAAUAUCACUGUCCUGUAAAUCAACAUACUAACAUAUGACCUUUUUUUUUUUUAAACUAACAUGUUUAGUAACGUAAUAAUUAUAAAGUCUCUAAGGUCUUCCUCCUCUUAGAAAUUAGUGAACUGUCUGUGUUUUAUCCUGGUGGCAAAGUGUUGCAUAAAACCACCGUAGCUUAUAAAAAUGCUUUCAAGUAGCUGAAUUAAAGUGUAGCACCACCACGAAAACAAAAGUAUUAAAGCAGAAGUGAUUCCAGAAUAACUUGCUGCUAAAUCGAGAUUUCUCUACUGUGAGAGCAGGUUUUUAAAGAUUAAAUACCCCGGUUGGGUGGCGAUUGCAAACCCCAGUGCGACAGUCGAGGUGGCAUUUUUAUUUGUCAGCGGUUACCACAGGAAAAUUUGCUUUAACCUUUUUUUUCCUUUUUUUAAAAUUGCCUGCCCCUCCUUGGCUCUGUGACUGGCAGGCGAAUGCAUGGGAUGGUUUCAGGCCGUUCCCCGUGUUCCCGUCCUCGCGGGCUGUGCUGGCCGGUGGCCGCGGUGCCGCCGGCGUCACCUCGUGUCCCCAGCCCCGCGCAGCAGCCGUGGACACGGCACGUGCCGGACGGUCCCGGCGCGAGGGAGCUCCCGUCCCUGCCGGCCUCACCGCCGGAGGAGGAGGAUGAUGAUUUCCUUCCUUCGCCCCAUUUCUAGCUGCCCCCGUCUCUGUACGGACGCGGAAUCCCCACAGGAGGGUGCUGUGAAGGCAUUUAAUGUGCAGAUUUUGCUGGGAAGAUCGGAGUUUUGAGGAAACGGCGAUUCUCGGGAAGGCGAAGCUGCGUCGUUGCGGCAGGGCCGGCGCGUGCCCCGGCGCGGGAGGGAUGCGGGACAGGCCCGCGCUGGUGCCGCCGUGCUGCCCGCGGCCCUGCCGCCGGACGGUGCCGGGGUGGCCGGGGGUGACCACAAGGAAGGCGACGCGCUCGGGCACCGGGAAAGCAUCCCGGGGUGUUAUCGCUUACGGCGGGUACCGGGACCCUUCCCCACGAGUCUCAUCCACGGCCCACGGGUCGCCUGGCUUCUCGCCGACGAGCCGUGGAGCCGCUCGUCUACUUUCCUGUCUGUACGUAGAAUAUUUAAUCUGCAUAAACUACAAAAUCCAUUUGGUUGCAAGUAGAAGCUCUAGCUUCUGUCCUAAAAUACUUUGUAAGUUAGGCCGUUCUGUUCAGCGUGAUCAGAAAGACAAAUGAAAAAUAAGGGAGAAAGCUUUCCCUAGUUCUUAGCUGUAAAACUUCUCUUUCAAAUAUUUUAAAUAAAAUAGGUUAUUCCUUUUGUAUAGUAUAUACUUGUGCCAAAAUACUUUUAUGCGACAAGGCAAGUUAAAUAGCAUUUCCCACAUGCGGCUUCUGUCAGCUGGGGACUGCUUCAAAUAGAAAUUAAAUACGAUCAUUUAAAAGAAAACAGAAAACCCCAGCCCAGGGGAGCUGCGGGCUGUUCUUCCCCUCGCGCUCCCGCUCUGCCCCCACCCUGCCGCCUCCUCAGGCUUUUCAGGGGGUUUUUAAUAAACUUUUUAAAGUGAGGAUUAUAACUAAAAUAGAGACUUAUCUUUGGGACGACCUCUAAAACACGUGGGGGGAUUAAACCUAAUUCUGUUAUAGAGAAUAUGGUUGCUCCGAUUCUUUUAAUGGCAGUGAGAUAAGCUGAUAGAGCUGUAUUAUUGGGUUUUUUUUAAAAUCUCCUAGUCAUUAAAUAAGAGUACAUCGCUCUUAACCCUGGUGAGCGGGAUCCGUGUGUGUCCGGUGCGAGUCCCAGCGGGGUUUCGCCACUGCCCGUGCGUGGCCUGUGCCGGGCGGUGGGGCUGGGACGUUUGGAUGGAAACCGUUCGGCAGAGACGGUGCCUGGUGUUAUCCUGCAUUUUUGGCAUUCGUCUUAACUCACACCACCUAAAUCUUUUGCCGGGAUGGAUCACCACGAACGAGGCUUACCUGACGAACUCGGUGGAAGGACGGUGCCUGGCAGCAGCACUGGAGCCGUGCCCCGUUGCCAGCGCGGUGGAACCGAGCCGUUCUCGUGUCCGAACGUGCAUUAAAUUGGCCACAGGUCAUUGAAAUAGACUCGGAUUUAGGCUUUGUAAAGCGAGACUUUCCGCUCCCCGGAGGAGCUUUGGCUUAGCGGUAACCAGCCACAGCCGUGGUAGUUUUUGGUUACCAAGCGGAGUCUGUUUGGAUGUUAGGAAAUCGGAGCAUAAAUUCUGACACAGUCGGCUGUGUCAUGCGCGUCGCCUCCGUGACUCUGUGACCUCCAGCUGCUGUUACUUCAAACACUUGCCAUUAGACGCAGUCGGUAACACCCUCAUGAGUUCUAUAGGAGCUUUUCCUCCUGCCAUCUCAAAUGAAAAAUAAACAAAAGAGCUUAAGCAUGCAACGUGCUAAAUAGACUAAUAAGCUGUGAAAAUAUUUUACGGGGAAAUCUGGGGCAAGAGCUGUCUGCUGAAGCAAGCCUAUUAGACUUGGCAGCAGCAGGGCUUUGGGAGGCGUUCUUUGGGAGAGAUAAUUGAAAGAUUUUUUCAUAUGUAUGUGUAUUAUUUUUUUUCCCCCUUUCUGAGUAGUUUUAAGAAAUCCCUCCCUCCUUAAAUUGAUUACCUCUCAGCAGCAGAACGCCUUGGCUUUAAGUACCCGCUAAGCUGCUCCUGUGCUGAUUUGACUCUGCCUUUCUGUUAAAUGUAAAACAGGUUUUAAUCUUCUCAUUUAGCUGUUUUAAUAGAAAGUAAAUGUUUAACUUGCUUGGCUGUGGCACCCACAUCUUUAAUCCACGGGAAUGCUUGUAAUGAAAGGAGAUGGUGUUUUGUUUGAGGCCGGCGGUGCCAGCCAUGGCGGCCGUUCCCGGGGGGCAUCCUGCCGGCGGCGUUUGGGAGAGGGAAGGGGCCGGUUUGCCGGACGGCAAUUCCUGUUCGAAAUGGGAUUCCUGGGAAUUGCCCGGUGCUCACCAGCCCGGAGCUGGAGCUGGUGCCGAAAUGUCAGGGAAAGCAAAUAACCGUCCGUGAGCAGAUCGAGGGAUGAUGGGUUCUCGGAACGUGACGGGACGAGCAGCGAGAACCCUGUCUCGGGACGGGUCCCGACUCUGGGGAACGGGGAAAGGUCUGUAAACGUGCAGUAAAUUAAGUGUUUGUGAUUACUGCCUGCAAGCUUAAUCACAGCUUUUUCCGGAGGUUUACGUUUGGAGAUUAUUUACGUGUUCUGAUGGUGUUAUAAUUGCUGCUCUGUAGAAGAGCUGGAGCAGGGCGCUCCCUGGGAGGACUCCCGAGAGCAGCCCGGCGGCACUUGGUGCACUUACACAGAAGGCGGGUUCCAGUCUUCUGUCGCCGCUUGGUUCAUCUACUUACGAUGAAAUUUAACUUCAUUUUUUUAAAAAAGGCAUUUCUGACUCGAGGAGACAAAUACUACUGGUGAAUUAACAGGCCAAAUUCCAAAUCUGUCAAGGGGGGAAGAACGGAGCGAACAUGGGUGGAAGCACCUCGGGUGCCGAAGCAGCCGCUCGUGUGGCUUUGCUGCGAGGGCAGGAGCGGCAGCCCCGACCCCUUGGGGUGCGUUACCUGCCGCCGAUAGAAAUCGGGAUUUUUUCAGGCUGGAAGCACAGUACGUUCUGGAAGACCGAGCGCUGCCGAAGCUUUUUCCUCUGCAUUUCCCACCGGCCCCUGCUGCCGGGAGGGAGACGCCGUCCGGGGCAGCUGGACUCGGAGGCACCUACACAAACUCCGUAAACACGCUUUCUGCCGUCUUAAAGAUAACUGCAUUAGUAUAGGUUUGGCUGGAUAAAUAAAGUGCUCUAAUUUCAGGCUCGCGUUGUAAGUUGACAAGCUGUAAUUAUCUAAGUGCUGGCGUUACAAACAGCCGGGUGCAUCUGGCAAGCCCCAUCGUCGGCAUGUGGAGUUACCCCGCGCUCGGCACCGGAAUCUGGGAGGACGGUUCUUCCCCCGUGUCCUGGCGUGUGCUCUCACGCGCCGUGCUCUCGCCGGCCCCGGCUCCUUGUGGAUGGUCCCUGUCCCCGCAGAGCCCCGUGCCCGCCUGGCGAUGCUUCCCGGGACAGAAAAGGAGCGUAAUGGGAAAAAACUCGUGGGUUGAGAUAAAGAGAAUUUAAUAGAACAGUAACAGAAGAGAAUAACAACGAUAAUAACGGGAAAAGAAUACAAAGGAAAACGGUACACCACCAGUCGCUCUCACCACCCGGUGGUGGGUUGCCCAGCCCGUCCCGAGCAGUGAUGGGGGAUCCCGUCCCCCGGCCAACCCCCAUUUCUACAGCGAGGUGUGUCUGUGGUGUGGAAUGUCCCGUUGGCGGCUUGUCCUGUGGGUGUUCCCUCUCAGCCCCUGGGGGGAGCUGAGAAAGUUCAGGACUUAAUAUAAGCAUUACUUAGCAACAACUAAAACAAUGUAUGUCACAGAAUCACACACUGGUUCGGGUUGGAAGGGACCUCAAAGCCCACCCAGUGUCCCCCCCUGCCCUGGGCAGGGACACCUCCCACCAGCCCAGGUUGCUCCAAGCCCCGGCCAACCUGGCCUUGAACCCCCCCAGGGAUGGGGCAGCCACAGCUGCUCUGGGCAUUCUCAUACUAAAUCCAACACGCAGGAAGAAACUUAACUCUAUCCCAGCUGAAACCAGACAGCAACAGAGACCUGAAAAGUUUCAUUUUUCAGAAUCGGUAGGAAAUGGCAGCAUUUCAAGGAAAUCCCUUCUGCUGGGCGAAGGCGGCUGCCCCGUCCGGCUCCGCUUGCUGCUCCGUGGCCCUGGCAGGGCUGGACGUGCCGUAUCUCAGUGCCAGCGGGGAUUUUGGACGUGGGCAGGCUAACGGGCCGGUGGGGCACCACAGGCAGGUGCCGAUGGCAGGUAGCGUCAGGCAGGGCGUCCCAGCAGGGUCUCCGGCGAAGAACUCGCUGUUCUCCAGGAGGUGAAUUGCGAGCAGUUUGCAUCCAUCCGCAGGGAAGUGGAGCUGCUCCUUCGCCGGGCGCUGGAUUUACGAGUUGGGGUUACAGCAUAGUAACGUAAAUGUGUCAUUUCCUGAG